UACCAACAGGCAGAGCCGCAUUAAGUAGGAGAGCCCAGGGGAUCAGUUUCCUCCCCUCCACGGCAUCUUGCAAGUGGUAGACCUUGUUGGGGUGGAGGGGAGGCUAGCAGCGGGUACAGCCCGGGGGUGGUUGCUGGCGUGAAGGGGAGGGUCCCCUGUCUCCGAUGUCCUGUCUCCCCCCAGCAGUGCUUAAUCCGGCCCUGCCAACAGUCUGUCACAGAGGCAGCUCAUAGGGGAAGGUGGUGGAGGAACGUGUGCUCUCCUGCCUUCUGUUUCUGCUCUUCCUCUGCAAAGGGUCCACCGUCCAGCAAUAAUAAGAUCCAGUCGCUACCAAAUCAGAGCCCUGGUCUUCCUCUGGAGCUGUGAGAAGAACUACAAAGCACUGGCUGGAGUUGCCCUUAGGAAGAGUUCAUUAGCUCCAGGGCUGUUAAGAAGACCAAGGGACAAAGACGGUUUGGGACAGAACUGCACCAGAACUACAUCUCCCAGCAGCCCUUGCAACUCCAUGCAUGCCCCGGGACUCCCAGAAGCCCCCUCACUCAUCAGAAGAUGGGAGGAAGACCACUCUGAGCCGUGGAGACCACCGGACAGGCUGCUGGUCCAUGUGCAAAGAAUCGCCCCGCAUUAUAUCCUAUGGGAAGAAGGUAUGGAAUUGCAAAGAAGUAUCCAAGGGAAUCGCUCCGCAAUUUGCAACGCAUGACAAGUCAGUCAGGGGCAUGUCCGGUAAGGAACACACCACUAUUGUAGCCAUAUUAUGGAUCGCGGGACAGGUGCUUUUCGGAACAGCUGUCCUCGCACCGGAGCAAUACUGAAUUGCUCUGGUAACUAAGUAUCCACCGCCAAAACUCGCAGUGAGUUGGAUAUUUAAUUAUCAGGUGCUGGAAGGCCCCCGAUGAUGAAUAGGAGCCUUUAUAUUUUUCCGCUCAUUCAAGCUUCACUCACCUGCAGAUGAAAGUAACUGGCAAUGUACCAGGUCAGGGUAAAACUCCUAGGAAUAUGCUAAAUGUACAUUUGUUAAUGUUAAAAUGCAAGUUAUAGUUUAGAUGCGGAUGAAUAAGUUCCUGCAUGAGAUCUGACCGGUCACCAAUAAGAAUGUUUGUGCUCAGAUUUAAAACCAGAUCAUUAACAUAAACCUCUAAUGAAGCACAGAAAGUCUUCUAGCUGUUAUGAGAGCAGCACAGCACUAACUCUGCAGCAUGGUGUAUGGAACACAACAGUCCAACAUUGCCAAGAAAAAAAGAAGGUACUUUGUGGCCCAGUGUUACACAGGGAGCGUCCUGUUUCUUAGAACAUUCAGUUACAAGUUUAAAGCAACCAUCAAAACCAUCGUUUCUGUUUAAACACUGCAUGAAAGGGGUACAUUAUAGUUUGUACUUUUAUCCAUUUUUUGCGGAUUUUCCAGAUUUUGUUUUCUAAAGUUACAAAUAAAUGAGUUCUGUUUGUAAAGUCAA